rnacentral:rRNA from 1 species
CUCAGGACGAACGCUGGCGGCGUGCUUAACACAUGCAAGUCGAACGGAAAGGCCCUUCGGGGUGCUCGAGUGGCGAACGGGUGAGUAACACGUGGGUGAUCUGCCCUGCACUUUGGGAUAAGCCUGGGAAACUGGGUCUAAUACCGGAUAGGACCACGCGCUUCAUGGUGUGUGGUGGAAAGCUUUUGCGGUGUGGGAUGGGCCCGCGGCCUAUCAGCUUGUUGGUGGGGUAAUGGCCUACCAAGGCGUCGACGGGUAGCCGGCCUGAGAGGGUGUCCGGCCACACUGGGACUGAGAUACGGCCCAGACUCCUACGGGAGGCAGCAGUGGGGAAUAUUGCACAAUGGGCGCAAGCCUGAUGCAGCGACGCCGCGUGGGGGAUGACGGCCUUCGGGUUGUAAACCUCUUUCAGCACAGACGAAGCGCAAGUGACGGUAUGUGCAGAAGAAGCACCGGCCAACUACGUGCCAGCAGCCGCGGUAAUACGUAGGGUGCGAGCGUUGUCCGGAAUUACUGGGCGUAAAGAGCUUGUAGGUGGUUUGUCGCGUUGUUCGUGAAAUCUCACGGCUUAACUGUGAGCGUGCGGGCGAUACGGGCAGACUAGAGUACUGCAGGGGAGACUGGAAUUCCUGGUGUAGCGGUGGAAUGCGCAGAUAUCAGGAGGAACACCGGUGGCGAAGGCGGGUCUCUGGGCAGUAACUGACGCUGAGAAGCGAAAGCGUGGGGAGCGAACAGGAUUAGAUACCCUGGUAGUCCACGCCGUAAACGGUGGGUACUAGGUGUGGGUUUCCUUCCUUGGGAUCCGUGCCGUAGCUAACGCA